AUUGAACGCUGGCGGCAGGCCUAACACAUGCAAGUCGAGCGGAAACGACACUAACAAUCCUUCGGGUGCGUUAAUGGGCGUCGAGCGGCGGACGGGUGAGUAAUGCCUAGGAAAUUGCCUUGAUGUGGGGGAUAACCAUUGGAAACGAUGGCUAAUACCGCAUAAUGCCUACGGGCCAAAGAGGGGGACCUUCGGGCCUCUCGCGUCAAGAUAUGCCUAGGUGGGAUUAGCUAGUUGGUGAGGUAAUGGCUCACCAAGGCGACGAUCCCUAGCUGGUCUGAGAGGAUGAUCAGCCACACUGGAACUGAGACACGGUCCAGACUCCUACGGGAGGCAGCAGUGGGGAAUAUUGCACAAUGGGCGAAAGCCUGAUGCAGCCAUGCCGCGUGUAUGAAGAAGGCCUUCGGGUUGUAAAGUACUUUCAGUUGUGAGGAAGGGGGUAGCGUUAAUAGCGCUAUCUCUUGACGUUAGCAACAGAAGAAGCACCGGCUAACUCCGUGCCAGCAGCCGCGGUAAUACGGAGGGUGCGAGCGUUAAUCGGAAUUACUGGGCGUAAAGCGCAUGCAGGUGGUUUGUUAAGUCAGAUGUGAAAGCCCCAGGCUCAACCUGGGAAGGUCAUUUGAAACUGGCAAACUAGAGUACUGUAGAGGGGGGUAGAAUUUCAGGUGUAGCGGUGAAAUGCGUAGAGAUCUGAAGGAAUACCAGUGGCGAAGGCGGUCCCCUGGA
rnacentral:rRNA from 1 species